CCUACGGGUGGCAGCAGUGGGGAAUUUUGGACAAUGGGGGCAACCCUGAUCCAGCCAUGCCGCGUGAGUGAAGAAGGCCUUCGGGUUGUAAAGCUCUUUCGGACGGGAAGAAAUCGCGCGCUCUAACAUAGCGUGCGGAUGACGGUACCGUAAGAAGAAGCACCGGCUAACUACGUGCCAGCAGCCGCGGUAAUACGUAGGGUGCGAGCGUUAAUCGGAAUUACUGGGCGUAAAGCGUGCGCAGGCGGAUGGAUAAGACAGAUGUGAAAUCCCCGGGCUUAACCUGGGAAUGGCGUUUGUGACUGUUCAUCUCGAGUACGGCAGAGGGAGGCGGAAUUCCACGUGUAGCAGUGAAAUGCGUAGAGAUGUGGAGGAACACCGAUGGCGAAGGCAGCCUCCUGGGCCGAUACUGACGCUCAUGCACGAAAGCGUGGGGAGCAAACAGGAUUAGAUACCCUGGUAGUC
rnacentral:rRNA from 1 species